rnacentral:lncRNA from 1 species
UAUAUAUCAAGGCAGGAUGCAGUUCAGUGGGGAGUUGUAUUUUGGAUGUGAGGAUAUUCAGGCACAGAGCAUGAAGAGACAACAAGAUUACUUUAGCAAGUAAAAGAUGAGUAUCUGUUCAUAUUUUUCAAUUCUUUCUCACUCUCCCAUAUUUUUCCUUCUUUUUCGUCUUUUGCCAUUAUCAAAUUUUCACAUAUGCUUGGUUACACCCCAACCUGAAUGACGUAUAUUUUUGGAGUAAUCCUAAACCUCUGUGGGCAACAGCAGCACCCAUUUUAAAGUCACAGGAUCGUAGAAGCAAAUUAAUUAAAAACAGCAGGCUUUUACCUGAUGUCUUCAGGAUGACUUUUAAUUAUGCUAAAUGCCCUACUUUUUCUAAUGAGGAUGUUCUGUAAACCUUGCACAUGGUUUUCCCAUACUGCCCUUGCAGACAAACCCCGUGUCCAGCAGGACUACUGUUGCUUGCCAGACCAAAUCCUUUCUCUUCAACAAAGCCUGCCAUUGUGUCCCCAUGCAGCCCCACUGAUCUUUCCCAAAGGGCCUUUUAGAACAUGUGCACACUUAUUUCCAUUCCCUGAUGUGCUGCAUGCAAUAAUAGCCAGAGAACCAUGGUAACUUGCCUUCGCCCCGGACUGUGAGUCAAUGCUGUCUGGUGUUCUCUGAAAGCCAUAUCUGGCAGCUGGACUCUGUGUGUGUGUGUGUGUGUGUGUGUGUGUGUGUGUGUGUGUGUGUGUCUAGUUGGGGGAGGGCAAUCUCUGGUGCUUUUGUUGGAGAGUGAGGGAGGAAUAAAGAGCUGAAGAAGUGACAAGGUGUCAGUGUCCUCAUUGACUCAGCUGUUCAGGGGCCUAAUCCCAGCUCACAACUGGAUGUCCAAGGGAUUGAAGGAGAACUCUCUUCCUGGCUGCCUUCCAAUUGUUUCCAAAUGCAUUUGAAAAAGUUCCAUGUGAUUUUUUUUUUUAAUGUAGCACCUGCUCUAACAAUCCAAAAGCAACUUUUUUCCUGCUCCAUUAUACUGUACAUCUGUUAUUUUGCUGACAUGGAAGCUAGCAUAACAAUUAGAUUCAUUACUUGCCCAAUAAGUUGAUUCCAGCUAAGCUUAAAAGACCUCAGUGUAUUCUUGGAGCAUUUAUUCAGUGAAAGAACAAAUUAAGAAAUCCUGUUUAUAAAGGCUGCUUGACAUUAGCCCAGUGGCAUAUCAUUCAUUUAAGUUUGUUUUAUUUAAGGUGGUGAUGAGAUGAAAUUAGAAUGCCU